rnacentral:rRNA from 1 species
GAUGAACGCUAGCGACAGGCUUAACACAUGCAAGUCGAGGGGCAUCGGGACGUAGCAAUACGUUGCCGGCGACCGGCGGAUGGGUGAGUAACGCGUAUGCAACCUGCCCACGACAGGGGGAUAGCCCGUUGAAAGACGGAUUAAUACCCCAUAAAACAGGGGUUCCGCAUGGGACUAUUUGUUAAAGGGUUUUCCGCGAGGGGGAUCCGGUUGUGGAUGGGCAUGCGUUCCAUUAGGCAGUUGGUGGGGUAACGGCUCACCAAACCGACGAUGGAUAGGGGAACCGGGAGGUUGGUCCCCCACACUGGUACUGAGAUACGGACCAGACUCCUACGGGAGGCAGCAGUGAGGAAUUUUGGUCAAUGGACGGAAGUCUGAACCAGCCAAGUCGCGUGAAGGAAGGCGGCCCUAAGGGUUGUAAACUUCUUUUGUAAGGGAAUAAAGGCCGGUACGCGUUACCGGUUUGCAGGUACCUUACGAAUAAGGAUCGGCUAACUCCGUG